UUAUUACGUUUUCUUGAUGCCUGGGUGAAAUGACACGAGGAAUAGUACUAUGCUAAGAAGAUUUAUACUUAACUGUAAACUUUUUAUCCUAGAGUUUUCACUUCACUGAGGGUGCAAAUUUUAGUUAAAUUCCACUUCUACCUUUCCUGAACAUCAAAGAAUAGCACCCAGCAAAGCCAAUUUAAAAUAUCCAGUCAACAAACUUUGGUACUUCAUAAAUAAUCCAGCAGAUGGGGCUAAAGGCAUAGAUCAAGCCAGCUCAGCUUCCAUUCUACUGGUGUCUUGGCGAACACCAUCAGCCCACAGAUGGCAGUCUUGAUUAGGUGUCAUGUUACAAGGUUCUGAACCUCUCCCUUUCUCUCUUACAUAAUAAUCACUGAAGCAA
rnacentral:lncRNA from 1 species